rnacentral:rRNA from 1 species
CGGGUGAGUAAUGCGUGACCAACCUGCCCCAUGCUCCAGAAUAGCUCUUGGAAACGGGUGGUAAUGCUGGAUGCUCCAACUUGACGCAUGUCUUGUUGGGAAAGUGUUUAGUGGCAUGGGAUGGGGUCGCGUCCUAUCAGCUUGUAGGCGGGGUAAUGGCCCACCUAGGCUUCGACGGGUAGCCGGCCUGAGAGGGCGGACGGCCACAUUGGGACUGAGAUACGGCCCAGACUCCUAGGGAGCAGCAGCA